CACGCAGGCGGCCUGAGAAGUCCGACGUGAAAGCUCCUGGCUUAACUGGGAGAGGCCGUUGGAGACUGGCAGGCUUGAGGGAGUGAGAGGGAGGCGGAAUUCCCGGUGUAGUGGUGGAAUGCGUAGAUAUCGGGAAGAACACCAGUGGCGAAAGCGCCUUCUGGCACUCACCUGACGCUGAGGUGCGAAAGCGUGGGAGCGAACG
rnacentral:rRNA from 1 species